UCCGGUUUGUCACCGGCAGUCCCAUUAGAGUGCCCAACUGAAUGUAGCAACUAAUGGCAAGGGUUGCGCUCGUUGCGGGACUUAACCCAACAUCUCACGACACGAGCUGACGACAGCCAUGCAGCACCUGUGCAGGAUCUCCGAAGAGGGGCUCUCGUUUCUGAGAGCUUGCUCCUGCAUGUCAAGCCCAGGUAAGGUUCUUCGCGUUGCUUCGAAUUAAGCCACAUGCUCCGCCGCUUGUGCGGGCCCCGUCAAUUCCUUUGAGUUUUAGCCUUGCGGCCGUACUCCCCAGGCGGGGUGCUUAAUGCGUUAGCUUCGGCACGGACGGGGUCGAUAUCCGCCCACGCCUAGCACCCAACGUUUACGGCUAGGACUAC
rnacentral:misc_RNA from 1 species